rnacentral:rRNA from 1 species
UAGUCCACACCGUAAACGCUGUCUACUAGCUGUGUGUGAAUUUAAUUCGUGCGUAGCGAAGCUAACGCGAUAAGUAGACCGCCUGGGGAGUACGGCCGCAAGGUUAAAACUCAAAUGAAUUGACGGGGGCCCGCACAAGCGGUGGAGCAUGUGGUUUAAUUCGAUGCAACGCGAAGAACCUUACCUACACUUGACAUGCUGAGAAUUUACUAGAGAUAGUUUAGUGCCUUCGGGAACUCAGACACAGGUGCUGCAUGGCUGUCGUCAGCUCGUGUCGUGAGAUGUUGGGUUAAGUCCCGCAACGAGCGCAACCCUUGUCCUUAGUUGCCAGCCUUUAGUUGGGCACUCUAAGGNGACUGCCGGUGACAAACCGGGAGGAAGGUGGUGACGACGUCAAGUCAUCAUGGCCCUUACGUGUAGGGGCUACACACGUGCUACAAUGGGUAAGUACAGAGGGGAAGCGGAGGCAGCGAUGGCGGGAGCGGGACCC